UACGUAGGGUGCAAGCGUUGUCCGGAAUUAUUGGGCGUAAAGAGCUCGUAGGCGGUUUGUCGCGUCGGCUGUGAAAACUCGGGGCUCAACCCCGGACUUGCGGUGGGUACGGGCAGACUAGAGUGUGGUAGGGGAGACUGGAAUUCCUGGUGUAGCGGUGAAAUGCGCAGAUAUCAGGAGGAACACCGAUGGCGAAGGCAGGUCUGCUGGGCCACUACUGACGCUGAGAAGCGAAAGGCGUGGGGAGCGAACAGG
rnacentral:rRNA from 1 species